CAAAACUCGUGUGACUUCCGUAGGUGAACCUGCGGAAGGAUCAUUACCGUAGUUUUCGAGCUCCGGCUCGACUCUCCCACCCUUUGUGAACGUACCUCUGUUGCUUUGGCGGCUCCGGCCGCCAAAGGACCUUCAAACUCCAGUCAGUAAACGCAGACGUCUGAUAAACAAGUUAAUAAACUAAAACUUUCAACAACGGAUCUCUUGGUUCUGGCAUCGAUGAAGAACGCAGCGAAAUGCGAUAAGUAAUGUGAAUUGCAGAAUUCAGUGAAUCAUCGAAUCUUUGAACGCACAUUGCGCCCCUUGGUAUUCCGGGGGGCAUGCCUGUUCGAGCGUCAUUACAACCCUCAAGCUCUGCUUGGAAUUGGGCACCGUCCUCACUGCGGACGCGCCUCAAAGACCUCGGCGGUGGCUGUUCAGCCCUCAAGCGUAGUAGAAUACACCUCGCUUUGGAGCGGUUGGCGUCGCCCGCCGGACGAACCUUCUGAACUUUUCUCAAGGUUGACCUCGGAUCAGGUAGGGAUACCCGCUGAACUUAAGCAUAUCAAUAAGCGGAGGAACAGAGAAAUGUAGCUACUGC
rnacentral:rRNA from 1 species